UGUGAGAAAGGAUAUAGCUAAGUCAGCACACAAAAAAAAACCCAGUAGAAUUUUCCUUGCUGCUUUAAUGGUGUUUUAUUGUAGAAACUAAAACAUAAUGCCUGAGUGGGACAGGAACCAAACAAUCUCACCUUGGGACUGAUAAAAUGGCACAGUGGAUAGAGGAGCUUGCACACAGACCUGAGGAUGUGAGUUUCACCCCUGGAUCCCUCAAGAUGGCAGAAUAAACUGAUUCCUGAGAAUUGGACCUAAGGAGCCAACAGCAAACCUAGGCAUGAUCCCACCAAAGCUCACUCCCUGCUCACUCCAAGGAACCCACGAGUCGAUGGGGCUUCCUUACAGACCUUAGGUUCCCAAUACUGGUGAGACCUGGGUUCUGUGAAGGAGGAAAGUCAAGAUCAGCUGUUUGGAGUCACACUCAGGGGCAUCUGUGUUGCUCUGGCUGUUUCCCCAGUUAAGCGAGACAGUGAACCCGGCUCCAGUGACUCAAUUCUGACUCGAAUGGAAUGUCAGUUCCUUGGUCUACCUCUCGUCUCAUCAAUCUCAAAUUCACCUU
rnacentral:lncRNA from 1 species